AUUGAACGCUGGCGGCAGGCCUAACACAUGCAAGUCGAACGGUAACAGGAAGAAGCUUGCUUCUUUGCUGACGAGUGGCGGACGGGUGAGUAAUGUCUGGGAAACUGCCUGAUGGAGGGGGAUAACUACUGGAAACGGUAGCUAAUACCGCAUAACGUCGCAAGACCAAAAAGGGGGACCUUCGGGCCUCUUGCCAUCGGAUGUGCCCAGAUGGGAUUAGCUAGUAGGUGGGGUAACGGCUCACCUAGGCGACGAUCCCUAGCUGGUCUGAGAGGAUGACCAGCCACACUGGAACUGAGACACGGUCCAGACUCCUACGGGAGGCAGCAGUGGGGAAUAUUGCACAAUGGGCGAAAGCCUGAUGCAGCCAUGCCGCGUGUAUGAAGAAGGCCUUCGGGUUGUAAAGUACUUUCAGCGGGGAGGAAGGGAGUAAAGUUAAUACCUUUGCUCAUUGACGUUACCCACAGAAGAAGCACCGGCUAACUCCGUG
rnacentral:rRNA from 1 species